rnacentral:rRNA from 1 species
AGCGAACGCUGGCGGCAGGCCUAACACAUGCAAGUCGAACGAACUCUUCGGAGUUAGUGGCGGACGGGUGAGUAACACGUGGGAACGUGCCUUUUUGUUCGGAAUAACUCAGGGACACUUGUGCUAAUACCGAAUGUGCCCUUCGGGGGAAAGAUUUAUCGCCAUUAGAGCGGCCCGCGUCUGAUUAGCUUGUUGGUGAGGUAACGGCUCACCAAGGCGACGAUCAGUAGCUGGUCUGAGAGGAUGACCAGCCACACUGGGACUGAGACACGGCCCAGACUCCUACGGGAGGCAGCAGUGGGGAAUCUUGCGCAAUGGGCGAAAGCCUGACGCAGCCAUGCCGCGUGAAUGAUGAAGGUCUGAGGAUUGUAAAAUUCUUUCACCGGGGACGAUAAUGACGGUACCCGGAGAAGAAGCCCCGGCUAACUUCGUG